rnacentral:rRNA from 1 species
AGAGUUUGAUCCUGGCUCAGAACGAACGCUGGCGGCGUGGAUUAGGCAUGCAAGUCGAACGCGAAAUCCUGGCUUGCUAGGAGAGUAGAGUGGCGAACGGGUGAGUAAUGCAUGGGUAACGUGCCUUCGUGCACGGGGACAGCCGCGGGAAACCGCGGGUAAUACCCGAUGAGGCCACGGCGUCUACGGGCGCUGAGGUCAAAGGGCGGGGACCCCGACUUGUCGGGGCCUGUCGGCCGAAGAGCGGCCCAUGUCCUAUCAGCUUGUUGGUGAGGUAACGGCCCACCAAGGCGACGACGGGUAGCGGGACUGAGAGGUUGGUCCGCCACACUGGGACUGAGACACUGCCCAGACUCCUACGGGAGGCUGCAGUCGAGAAUCUUGGCCAAUGGGCGAAAGCCUGAGGUAGCGACGCCGCGUGUGGGAGGAAGCUUUUCGGGGUGUAAACCACUGUCAGGGGUCACCAAGCGAAGGGGGCGAAUAUCCCCCGGAGUUGAGGAGCCCCAGAGGAAGCCACGGCUAACUUCGUGCCAGCAGCCGCGGUAAUACGAAGGUGGCGAGCGUUGUUCGGAAUCACUGGGCUUAAAGAGCGCGUAGGCGGCUGAUCAAGCGCUUUGUGAAAUCCCUCGGCUCAACCGAGGAACUGCUUGGCGAACUGAUCAGCUUGAGGCAGGUAGGGGCGAGCGGAACUCUUGGUGGAGCGGUGGAAUGCGUUGAUAUCAAGAGGAACGCCAGAUGCGAAGGCGGCUCGCUGGGCCUGUCCUGACGCUGAGGCGCGAAAGCCAGGGGAGCGAACGGGAUUAGAUACCCCGGUAGUCCUGGCCCUAAACGAUGUCCACUAGGUCGGAGGUCUUCUGACAGAUUUCUGGCCGUAGCGAAAGCGUUAAGUGGACCGCCUGGGGAGUACGGUCGCAAGGCUAAAACUCAAAGCGGAAUUGACGGGUGCUCACACAAGCGGUGGAGCAUGCUGCUUAAUUCGACAACGCGAAGAACCUUAUCCUGGGCUUGACAUGUACGGAUGCCCCCUGGGAAACCAGGUCGGCUGCCCUUCGGGGUGAAACGUACACAGGUGCUGCAUGGCUGUCGUCAGCUCGUGUCGUGAGAUGUUGGGUUAAGUCCCGUAACGAGCGGAACCCUUGUCGCUAGUUGCCAGCGGGUCAUGCCGGGGACUCUAGCGAGACUGCCGGUGUUAAACCGGAGGAAGGCGGGGAUGACGUCAAGUCCUCAUGGCCUUUAUGCCCAGGGCUGCAAGCGUGCUACAAUGGCCGGUACAAACCGACGCAAGACCGCGAGGUGGAGCAAAUCGGAAAAAGCCGGCCCCAGUUCGGAUUGGAGUCUGCAACUCGACUCCAUGAAGGUGGAAUCGCUAGUAAUCGCAGAUCAGCUAUGCUGCGGUGAAUG